UAGGGAAUCUUCGGCAAUGGACGAAAGUCUGACCGAGCAACGCCGCGCGCGUGAAGAAGGUUUUCGGAUCGUAAAACUCUGUUGUUAGAGAAGAACAAGGACGUUAGUAACUGAACGUCCCCUGACGGUAUCUAACCCGAAAGCCACGGCUAACUACGUGCCAGCAGCCGCGGUAAUACGUAGGUGGCAAGCGUUGUCCGGAUUUAUUGGGCGUAAAGCGAGCGCAGGCGGUUUCUUAAGUCUGAUGUGAAAGCCCCCGGCUCAACCGGGGAGGGUCAUUGGAAACUGGGAGACUUGAGUGCAGAAGAGGAGAGUGGAAUUCGAUGUGUAGCGGUGAAAUGCGUAGAUAUAUGGAGGAACACGAGUGGCGAAGGCGGCUCUCUGGUCUGUAACUGACGCUGAGGCACGAAAGCGUGGGGAGCAAACAGG
rnacentral:rRNA from 1 species